CAAGUCAGGCUCUGUACACCAAAAUGCUUUGCAGAGAUAAGUAAUAUAGUCUCAGUUAAAGCCUGAUCAUGUUAACUCUUACUCAUUCAAAUAAAUCUUACU